UUGACCUCGGAUCAGGUAGGACUACCCGCUGAACUUAAGCAUAUCAAUAAGCGGAGGAAAAGAAACCAACAGGGAUUGCCCCAGUAACGGCGAGUGAAGCGGCAACAGCUCAGAUUUGGAAUCUGGCCCCCAGGGCCCGAGUUGUAAUCUGGAGAGGAUGCUUCUGGCGCGGCGCCUUCCGAGUUCCCUGGAACGGGACGCCGGAGAGGGUGAGAGCCCCGUACGGUCGGACGCCCAGCCUUUGUGAAGCUCCUUCGACGAGUCGAGUAGUUUGGGAAUGCUGCUCAAAAUGGGAGGUAAAUUUCUUCUAAAGCUAAAUAUUGGCCAGAGACCGAUAGCGCACAAGUAGAGUGAUCGAAAGAUGAAAAGCACUUUGAAAAGAGGG
rnacentral:rRNA from 3 species